AACUGAAUCAAUAAAAAAAUAAAAAUUGAUAACAUAAGGGAAAAUAAUGAUAUUACCUUAUUAUUAGUGUCGUCCAAAACUGGUGCCAGAAGACUCGGUAAGGCCAGAGACAUAAACGUUAAUCGUCUUAAUCAGGCGUAAAGGGUUUGUAGGCGGCUUUUAAUAAGUUAAGAAUAAAAGCUAGAAUCAAAUAGAGGUUAUGUUAAAGAAUGCUUAGAGUAAGUCUGAUAUCUUGAAAUACUAAGUAGAAUAUUAAUGGCGAAAGCUUUUUACCAAUAAUGAUUGACGCUCAGAAACGAAGGUGAGGAUAGGAAAUAGGAUUAGAUACCCAGAUACCCCUCUCUGUCAACGAUGAAUGGUAAUUAUUAGUAAUAUAUUUAUUAAUGAUAAUGUUAACACGAUAACCAUUCCGCCUUGUGAGUACAACUGCAAAGUUGAAAACAAAAAAAUUAGUCGGUUUCGGAGCAAACGAAGUGAAGCAUGUUAUUUAAUCGAAAUUAAAUCCCGCAAAA
rnacentral:rRNA from 1 species